AGGGGCUUAGUGUCAACGGUAGAACAGUGGUCUCCAAAACCACAUAUGAAGGUUCGAUUCCUUCAGCUCCUG
rnacentral:tRNA from 1 species